UAAAGACAUUAUAGGGUCUUUGGGUUUGGAGGGACAAAGUAUCGAAAAUGAUAUGUGUUUUUUGUCUAAAGACGCCAUAUGUGCUAAUUAUGCAGCUUCACAUUCCUCGGACUCUUUAUAAAAAAAUAUCACACAUCUUACACCUUCUCAAGCCCUUCAAUUUACUAUAUAUUUUUGUACGUUUCUAGCUAAUAAAUAAGAAAAUUUGAAAGCUCCCAAAACAAAAUGCAGAAAAAAAUAGAAAAAUAUAAACUACCUGUAAAUGUACAAUCCGAAUAGAGCCAUUGAGAAGGAUGAACACAAAAGGAAGAAAUAAAAAUCAACGGUCUAGAUGUAGGAAUCUUCAAAUUGAUUGCGCAAUCUUUAAAAAAAAAAAAAA
rnacentral:lncRNA from 1 species